rnacentral:misc_RNA from 1 species
CAGAGUUGAAAGACUCCCAAACCAUCGCGAACGGUACCCCUAUCGUUGCCUCGGCGGGCGCUAACCUCCCCCGGGAGAGCCCGCCGGCGGCGCCCCCAAACUCUGUUUUCUUACCACUGGACCUCUCUGAGUAUACUGUACAAAAUCAGUCA